CUAGCUACAGGCUUAACACAUGCAAGUCGAGGGGCAUCGGGUAGAAAGCUUGCUUUCUUUGCCGGCGACCGGCGCACGGGUGAGUAACACGUAUCCAACCUGCCCUUUACUCGGGGAUAGCCUUUCGAAAGAAAGAUUAAUACCCGAUAGUAUAAUGAUUCCGCAUGGUUUCAUUAUUAAAGGAUUCCGGUAAAGGAUGGGGAUGCGUUCCAUUAGGUUGUUGGUGAGGUAACGGCUCACCAAGCCUUCGAUGGAUAGGGGUUCUGAGAGGAAGGUCCCCCACAUUGGAACUGAGACACGGUCCAAACUCCUACGGGAGGCAGCAGUGAGGAAUAUUGGUCAAUGGGCGCUAGCCUGAACCAGCCAAGUAGCGUGAAGGAUGAAGGCUCUAUGGGUCGUAAACUUCUUUUAUAUAAGAAUAAAGUGCAGUAUGUAUACUGUUUUGUAUGUAUUAUAUGAAUAAGGAUCGGCUAACUCCGUGCCAGCAGCCGCGGUAAUACGGAGGAUCCGAGCGUUAUCCGGAUUUAUUGGGUUUAAAGGGAGCGUAGGUGGACUGGUAAGUCAGUUGUGAAAGUUUGCGGCUCAACCGUAAAAUUGCAGUUGAUACUGUCAGUCUUGAGUACAGUAGAGGUGGGCGGAAUUCGUGGUGUAGCGGUGAAAUGCUUAGAUAUCACGAAGAACUCCGAUUGCGAAGGCAGCUCACUGGACUGCAACUGACACUGAUGCUCGAAAGUGUGGGUAUCAAACAGGAUUAGAUACCCUGGUAGUCCACACAGUAAACGAUGAAUACUCGCUGUUUGCGAUAUACAGUAAGCGGCCAAGCGAAAGCAUUAAGUAUUCCACCUGGGGAGUACGCCGGCAACGGUGAAACUCAAAGGAAUUGACGGGGGCCCGCACAAGCGGAGGAACAUGUGGUUUAAUUCGAUGAUACGCGAGGAACCUUACCCGGGCUUAAAUUGCAGUGGAAUGAUGUGGAAACAUGUCAGUGAGCAAUCACCGCUGUGAAGGUGCUGCAUGGUUGUCGUCAGCUCGUGCCGUGAGGUGUCGGCUUAAGUGCCAUAACGAGCGCAACCCUUAUCUUCAGUUACUAACAGGUCAUGCUGAGGACUCUGGAGAGACUGCCGUCGUAAGAUGUGAGGAGGGUGGGGAUGACGUCAAAUCAGCACGGCCCUUACGUCCGGGGCUACACACGUGUUACAAUGGGGGGUACAGAAGGCAGCUAGCGGGUGACCGUAUGCUAAUCCCAAAAUCCUCUCUCAGUUCGGAUCGAAGUCUGCAACCCGACUUCGUGAAGCUGGAUUCGCUAGUAAUCGCGCAUCAGCCACGGCGCGGUGAAUACGUUCCCGGGCCUUGUACACACCGCCCGUCAAGCCAUGGGAGCCGGGGGUACCUGAAGUACGUAACCGCAAGGAUCGUCCUAGGGUAAAACUGGUGACUG
rnacentral:rRNA from 1 species